rnacentral:rRNA from 1 species
GGUUAGACGAGAAAUUUGAGUAGAAUGAGUGUUUUCAUUAGUUAACGUUAGAUUCUCAAAGUUAUUUUAAUUUCUUUUUUGGGUGAAAUCAGUUUAAGUAGUUAUUAAUUCUUAGAGAAUUCAUAGGAACUAAAAAGCUUAGCUUAAAAACCAGGAUUAGAUACCCUGUUAUUCUGAGUAAUAUGCUAACAGGGUAGUAAAAGUUGUUCUUCAAACCCAAAGAUUUUGGCGGCACUUUAUCCAAAUAGAGGAGCUUGCCCCUUAAUCGAUAAUCCUCGUUUUAUCUUACCAUUAUUUGUAUAGUUUGUAUACCGCCGUUGACAGAUUACUUUUAGAGAAUGUUUUCUAAUGAAAAAAUUUUUGUACUUCAGGUCAAGGUGCAGCUUAUAUAGUGGAGGAGGUGAGCUACAAUUUUCUUUAGAAAGACGGAUUCUAAAUUCUGAAGUUGGUUGAAGGUGGAUUUAUUAGUAAGAUGAUUUAAGAAAAAUUAUCUGAAUAGCGCAAUAAAGUGUGUACAUAUCGCCCGUCACUCUC